CCUGAAGUAUGCUAUUCUCCUGAGGUAUAGUAUUCUACUGAAGUAUGGUCUUCUCCUGAAGUAUGCUAUUCUCCUGAGGAUGAGCCUGUAUUGGUCCUCUUUCUACCCAGGAUGACCCAGCCCUCCAGCCCAUAGGCUCGUUAUCUACGGAUUACCCUUCCCUCAGGCUGCUCUCUAUCUCUGGUCAAAGUAUCAAAGGCUAAUAUGUGUUUCAAUCCAAAAUGAUGGAGUUAGAGGGGGUAAAAGUCGUCUUAAUUUGAGCACCAUGACGGAGCAUGACCUUAUGAUCUCAAUCAUGUCUCGUUACUCGAGUCGAGGCAAUUUAGCAUGGGUCAGAUCUAUACUCUACAACAUGGGUCAAUUCCCCAACAGCGGAAAGCAACGCUGCAGACACUUGAGGAGAUUUGACUCCCCUGAAGUGUAUCAAUUUUAAUGACACACAGCCCUGGGCAGAUUGAACUCACCAUGACCAAAGGAAAGCUGUCAAACCAGAAAGAAGUCAAAACUAGAGGAUCCAGUCAGACUGUCACUGAUCCUGAGUGGAUCAGGUGUUUGUCAAUUAAAUUAGUCAAAGUAUAAAAUGCAGCGCAACAGUAAGCAGCAUCACUGUACAGUGUGAUGGUCCAGUUGAUGUUCAUGCCAUUGCCUAUGUUGUUAAUGUUGUGCUUUACAAAGGGCCACCCAUGUACUCAACAUAAAUAUUUGAAAUGCCUUGCUCUAGAAGCCAUAUCAUUUUUAGGGAUUGACCUUGCGGUCACAAGUCUGAUCCUCUGACCACUUCUCUACUCAUGUCAUAUGUCACGCUUGGGGCUUCUCCUGUUCAGAACUGCUGCCUAAGCAUAAUCUGAUAUCCUCAAUUGCAAUGAGCAAUGGAAAUGCACUGAAUGUAAUGUCACAUUGCAAACAACUAUGUAGUAGACUGGUAGCCUCUAAAUUCCUAUGACAAUAUCUCACAGAACCACUGCUUGCAUGCUGCAACCCUGUGAAUACGAUUGGUGUGAAACUGCACGUUGGGGGGAAAGUUACUGCUGAGGUGUGGCUUGGCAUCCUUUACUGUUCACCCCACUUACAACACAUUUUUUAUGGGCGCCGGUAGAAGUAGCUUUCGUAAAAACAGAGUUCACUUUGUUAUUCAGAUCUGAGUUCACAGCAUGCAGUGACUUAGGAUCAAUGGCAAAAUGCAUUGAAUUUCAUAAUGGCUUGGCUUCCAACUUUGGAAUGCUCCUUCACAACAAUUCAAUUUAGCGCCAUAAAAUCUGUCAACUGUAAACGACUCAGAAAGAGAACAAGUUUCACAACACCAAAAGUAACUGGGAGAGAGGUUAUGCCCUUGCUGUAACCCCCAGCUUUGAACUAUUGAUUGAGCUGCAGCCACUACAAGAAACGCUUAGUCUCUAGCAUAAACUCACGGCGAUCUAUUCAAGAUUCAAAAUUAUGUCAUUGUUUGAUGCAGUAGAGCGUCAAUCGACUUUAGGGGGAUAUUAUCAAGAGAGAGAGAGAGACGAGAGGCUAUGUUUGAGCCAUUGUUGACAAAACCGAAAUGCCACAGCACCCUGAUGGCCUAGGCAUGGCCAUUAGGACAGAGGAGCAGAUAGGGCCUCCAGGGGCCUGAGGAGGGUAAAUGGGGCGGUGCCAGAGUGUUUACAUGGCUCUAAUUGGCCAAGAUAAGUUGUGUCUCAUCAAACCCAGAAAGUAAAGCACUGAUGUUGGUGAUUCAUUGUAUCACCUUGGAAAUCACAGCUGCCAUUCCCUAAAAGGCAUUUCCUGUUUAUUGGGUAUGUGCAACGCGUUUUAAACUAACUGUCUAAAUACCGUUCCUAAAUUAGGAUGAAACAAGGAAGUAAAAAAGGGAAAAGUCUAGUUUCUCUUUGAGAACAAGGUGACUCAUCACCCCUCCCAUGUCUUCUUCAUGUUUACAUUGCCUUUCUUCUCCGUCAUAGUUCUGAGAAUAGAAUCAGUAGAAUCACUCUGCUUUAUUUCAUGCUGAGUUGUCAGAAAAUGGUUCGAAGCCUUUCCAAUCCAUGUCCCCUGUGUAGGAAAAGGUCACUGACUCAAUAUCCACAUUGAGCUAAACAGGGUUUCCCUAGCCUGCGGUAUUCAUCUUUAACAGGGAGUGGAUUCAGGGUUUUAAAAAUGGUCAGA
rnacentral:lncRNA from 1 species